rnacentral:tRNA from 1 species
CGGAUAGUAGUUUGAGGUAAAAACAAGCAAUCUGUCGAGCAUUGCUUAGUGGAGGUUCGAAUCCUUCCUAUCCGA